GAUGAACGCUGGCGGCGUGCUUAACACAUGCAAGUCGAACGGGAUCCCAGGAGCUUGCUCCUGGGUGAGAGUGGCGAACGGGUGAGUAAUGCGUGACCGACCUGCCCCAUACACCGGAAUAGCUCCUGGAAACGGGUGGUAAUGCCGGAUGCUCCAGUUGACCGCAUGGUCCUCUGGGAAAGAUUCAUCGGUAUGGGAUGGGGUCGCGUCCUAUCAGCUUGAUGGCGGGGUAACGGCCCACCAUGGCUUCGACGGGUAGCCGGCCUGAGAGGGCGACCGGCCACAUUGGGACUGAGAUACGGCCCAGACUCCUACGGGAGGCAGCAGUGGGGAAUAUUGCACAAUGGGCGCAAGCCUGAUGCAGCGACGCCGCGUGCGGGAUGACGGCCUUCGGGUUGUAAACCGCUUUUGACUGGGAGCAAGCCCUUCGGGGUGAGUGUAC
rnacentral:rRNA from 1 species